GUCUAAGGCCAUACCACCCUGAAGGGACCCAAUCUCAUCCGAUCUUGGAAGCUAAGUAGGGUCAGGCCUGGUUAGUACUUGGAUGGGAGACCAACGUAGUUGGCCCUCCUGAGUCCUAGUGCGCUAGGUG
rnacentral:rRNA from 1 species